rnacentral:lncRNA from 1 species
GCCUCCCGAGUAGCUGGGACUACAGGCCGACUAAUAUUCCGCUGCAUCUUGCUGGGCACAGUGGCUCAUGCCUGAAAUCCAAGCACUUCGGGAGCUUGAGAUGAGCAGUCUGUGUUAAAAAAGAAAAAAAAAAAAGAAGGAAAAAGGAUUCAACUUUCUCCCCAGCCAUUUUGGAUGACAACAUUUCCUGUCCUGCUUUGCGGUGAGGCUGAGACCAUGAGACUAGUUCUGGCUCAAGGGCUAUGAACAGAAAUGAUAUUGGGCACUCUUGGGCCAAAGCAUUUAGUGCCAUUUUAUGUCUCUCCAGCUCUCUCUUCCCCUGCUGCAGCAAUUGUGAAAGCCACGCAUUUAGAUGGUGAAGCCACAAAAUGGAAACAGCCUGGAUCCCUGAGUCACCAGAUGCAGAAACAGCUGCCCUGAAAAGUUGUCCAUCUUGCACUAUACAUGCCCAUGUACGAGAAAUACAAGCCUUUUCUGGCCGGGCGCGGUGGCUCACGCCUGUAAUCCCAGCACUUUGGGAAGCCGAGGCGGGCAGAUCAUUUGA